GUCAUUCCUGGUGUUUCUUCCACCCCGGGGCCAGUAGCUAACCUUCAGGCUACACCAGAAGAGAGGGAGACUCGCCUGCGCCUUUUGGAACCUAAGGUGUUGCACCUGGGCUCACCCUACCUGAGGAGGUUCAGCUAUGCAUCAUUCUGCCUGCUUCAUACAGCUGGCUGAGGCUGGAGGCGGAUGCUCGGAGCACUGAUCCAUUAGCUGGCCUGUGCUGCCCUCUGCCGGCCAGGGGGGUUUAAGAGCCACCCUAAGCCGAGAGAGACCUGGAAUUGGAGCCAGCUGACUGCUUUGAGAGAAAACCUGUUAGGAAUGGACUUUUGAGGGCGUUUCCUUUCCUGUGCAAGUGCCGAAAGGGAGAUCAGGAGGUAGCAGUGUUCCGAGAAGCCCUCUAACCAAUGAUUUCCAAUCUUCCCACCGGUGGCAAAACUCCCAGAGGGCAAAGCUUCGAGAUUCAGUUUUUCCACCUUUAAAACGGAGACGAAUGUGACCUUGCAGGAUUUUGAGAGGGUGAGGAUUUCUGUAAAGUGCCAGUGAGGUGUGCAAGCCCCGUCCCUGUGUAAGUGUAGCUGCCAACCCUCAUCAAAGAAGGUUCUCUUUACACCUAACAGAGACCAUC
rnacentral:lncRNA from 1 species